rnacentral:lncRNA from 1 species
GUAGAGCAUGUAGUCCUUUCUAAUCUUGGGACUGACUCCCCCAACAAACCUCGCACCUGCCAAUCACGAGUAAGAAUCCCUUGUAGGGCUCGCAAUCUCUUUCGCGGUCAUAGCUCACGACCUCAUCCUUAUGAGGCUUACACAAGCUCCCCUUGCGGGCUUUUCGUGCGAGCUAUCUUUGUGAACAUCUAGCAUUCUCGCAAGGUCCUCAGCUGACUAUGCUUGUAAGCGAACAUUCUUCUUCUAGGUCAGGGUCAUCCGGGUUGGAGAUCCAGAUCCUAUCAGUCACUUCAAAGUUAGCAUUCAACUUAACACUUAAUCAUAUGCAUUCACAACUAUAGUUCUUAUAAUUCCCCAUCUCCAUUCAUAAUAAUUUCAUGCCAUUAAUACUCAAAAUCACCAUUGAAAUGUCACUCAAAUUAUCUCAUUUGACAUUCAAAACAUGACACUAUGCUACAUACAUUUCAUACCAAACUUUAUAUGCACUUAAAGCACCUUUUAUCUCUCAAUCAACUUAACCAUUAUGCAUCAUUAUUCCCUAUGUUAAAACUUACUAAAUAAUGAUUAUUCACCAUGGCAAUCUCAUCACAAUAGCUCAAUCAUUCACAUUCAAACAUAGUCAUUCAAAUCAAUAUUAGAUACAUAUCAUAUGCACAAUUCAAAAUCAAAACAUACAUUCAUAUAACCAUUUAAACAUACAAACAAUAUGCCCUCAUUGGCACCAACAAAGCAUUAACUCAAGUCAUAUAAAAAUCAUGUCUUAACCAUUGCAUACCACAAACUAAAUCAUGUGAAUAACAUCAUUCAAACUUUCCAUUAUCAUUAACCUUUUAAACACCAAACUUGACAUAAACCAUACCAGACAUAUCAAGUUACCAAAUAAACUUUUAUACAAACAUAACCAUUCAAAAUUCAAACCACAAUCAAGAACUAAAGUACCAACAUUCAAGAUAGACCAAAAACAGAUCGCCUAUAUACAUGCCAUAAAAUUAAGCUUUAAAUAAUUAAAAGAUUACCGAAACAACAUCAUGAUAGUGCGAGCUUCUCAACGAUCCACUUGACAUGUUUUGCUAGUUGACAAUCUACAGGGAAAAGGAAAUCGAUGGAGUAAGCAUUACAAAUGCUUAGUAAGUUCACAGUUAUCAAAAUAACAACUUAAAUGCUUAGUAAGUUCAUAGUUAUCAAAAUAACAACUUACCUCAUUUUAUGAAUUUAAACAACAAGUUAUUUAACUUGAUGAUUUUGCCUAAAUCUAGCAACCCUAUAUCAACAAGGUGAGUUCAUUCCGUAACCAAUUCAUAUAAUAAUCUGAACAUUUAACAUUUCAAAUAAUUUUAAUACCAAUCGCAUCGAAAUCAACAACUCAAUACCAUUCACAACAUUCCCAUCAACAUUUCAAUUCACAAAUACAAUUAAAAGUCUCAAUAGUACACAUGUAUCAAUGUAUACAAGCUUUAAUUAAUCAAUCUAAGGAUUAUAUCGUAUCAUUUCAUUUUGUUGUCAACAGUACAUCCAAUUUCAAUAUAAUGACAAUUAUUAUUCCAUUUUAUUGCUCGAAUUCUGCGUCAAAUUCAUAGAUUUGCCACAUUUCUAUAUGGGCCAUCUGGCUCAUAUAUCCGAUACGUUUGAUCAUUCAAUACUAUCAAUAUUCAUACAUAUAUUUCGUUAAUCAACUUUGUAUUACCAUAUCACAAUUAUCAAUCCAGAUUAUAUCUCACAUGUCAAAUAUCACAUUACUUUCCAUUUCAUAUCUAUUUGCAACCUCAAUUAUCAAAUAACACUUUUCAUUUCAGAUUUUCAAUCUCAUGAUUUCGAGGACUCUAUCAUCAUUGUUUCAUUUAUACUUAUCCUGCUUUUACGAUUUAUUUCCUCUAUUAACUUGACUCGAACUCGGAAAGAUACACGGAUCCAACCAAUACACCUAAGGCCUCAUCGGAUAAACCCAAAGUAAAUAGUUUGCGCUCAACCCUCAUUAAUAAAUUUGAUACCUAGUGUCUCAUCGGUAUAACUGAAGUAAUUUGGCACUAAGUGCCUUACUGAAUUGUAUUCGAAGUAAUCCUAAACUCUUCCUAUCCUAUGACAUGCCAACUAUAUUCGACUCUGCUCGAACAGUUAAUAGGGAAACCAUUUUCAACUUCCAUUAUAAACCAAUUUCUCAGUUCAAUUAUAUGCUUGCAAUACUAAUUCAUCAAUACAUAUAAAUAUACAAACAUAAUUCUCCUCAAUAAAAAAUAAAAUUUGAAUUUAAAUCAAUAUACAAUAAUCUCAUAUUAAUUCAAUUUAGUUAUUACCAUAAACAAUCAAUCAAUUCCAUACCAGCACAAUUCGAUCAAUUAUAAUCAAUUACCAGUUCAUUUUUAUUUCAGAUAUCAAUUCAUCAUUAUAAGAUUUAACCAUGAACUUAUCAUUUUUAUAUGUUUUAAUUCAUAACUUACCUGUUGUACCAAUUUGUGCACAAUUUAACUAUUAUCAAACAAUUACAAUUUCACAAAUAAAAUAUAAAACAAUUUAAAUAUAAUUAUACUAUGAGAACUUUCUUGAUCAAAAAAACAACAAAACAACUCUCUAAGGACUGAUCAACAAUUUUUUUCAUUUUCCCCGUUUUCUUCAAUUUGGUCCAAUUUUCGAUGCAUUCAAUAAUUCAAUUCAAUUUAUCAAUUCAUCAAUUCAAAACAUCUUAUUUCAUCCUAUUAUAAGCAUAUAUCAUUUUAAUUUUAUUAUUCGAAUGCCCUCUAAAAUUUUGCAUUUUAUUCAAUUUAGUCCAUAAAACCAAACUUAUCACAUCUUUCGAAUUUGAACUCCAAAAAACCGCUUCAAUUAUGCCCAUGCAAAGCCUCCUAUUUAUCACAUUUUAUAAAAAAUUCAUACCAAUUUCAAGAUAUUUAUAAUUUAGUCCCUAAAUUCAAAACUAACAAAAUUUACUUAACAUAUUAAUCCUAUUUCAUUUCUAAGCUUCAAAGUCUACAAUAAAAAAAUCAAAAUCUUCAAUUAACAUCAAUGGAAACUUUAAAAAAUCUUUAAUAAUUUUCAAAACAGAUAUACAGGUUAGUUGGACCUAAUUGUAAUGAUCUCAAAAACAUAAAAAUUACAAAAAAACGGGCCUCAAUUAAACCUCUAUGCAACGAAACACUUUGGCCGAACCUUGAGCUCCUUCAAUGGGAUUUUUGGUUUUUAAUAUUCAGUAGUGGUGAGCAAAAAUGGUGAUGAAUUCUUUUGUUUUAUACUUUUAACCUUUAUUAUAUUGUUUUAACUUAGUUUAAUUAAAUUUUCAAUUAUAAAAUUUCAAAUAAACUAUAUACUAACCGACCACUAGCUAUAAAUAGGUUAAUUUCAAACUUAAAACCCUUAACAUUAAUUAAUUUAGCCUUUUAACAAAUAAAAACCAAUAUCGAUUAAAUUUUUAUAAUUUUACGAUUUGGUCCUUUUUUCUUAAUUAACUAUCAAAUCAUCAAAAUUUUUGGACCAAACUUCAAUUCACCUAUAUAGAAGCUCUGUAAAUAUUUUGAAAAAUAUUCACGUGCUCGAUUUACAAAAAAUGAGGUCCUAAAAUCUUAUUUUAUAAAACCACUUGACUUUCGGUAUGCAACACUUGUACCUCGACUAACUGACCAAUUAAGAAAAUAUAUUAAAUCAAAAUUCAAUAUUACACUGUAUUUAACUCCUAAAUAUUAAUUAAAUAUAUCUAUGGACUCUCUUGUUGGAAUCGAGAUCCUGAAAUUAUUGUUUCCGACACCACUGAAAAACGAGUCAUACCACAAGGCAUGGUGGGCAAAAGAGAAGGCGUUGGAGAAGAUGCAUAGUGGGUGGGAGAAAUCAGAUAAUGAUUUGUUGCAAUGGUGUCUAUAACACCCCAACAUUUUACCCUUUGUGCAAUUUAGUCCCUAAACCCGAAACUUUCAAAUUAACAACAUUUAAUCACAAUUCAUUCUAACCAAAUUUCCUAUAAUCCCUAUACAGACCAUAUUUAUCACCUUUUUACAAUAAUUUAAUGCAACUUUACUAUUUUAACAAACUAGUCCUUAAACUUUAAAAUUAACCAAAGCCACUUUACAAAAUCGUCCUAUUUAACUAUCAAGCUUAUGAAUCUACCAUCAAACUUCAAAAACAUCAUAAAUUCAUCAAUUUCAUAAAUCAAAACAUUUAACAGUUUUACAUAUUAGUCCCUAGGUUAGCCAGAUUAAAUUGCAACUAUCUCAAAAACGUAAAAAUUACCAAAAACUGACAUUGAAAGUGUACAGAUGCAAGGGCUGAAAGCUUCCAUCAAACAAAAAUUGCUUCCCUUGUUGAAUGAUACAUUCAGUUAAGAAAAAUAAAAUGGGAGAAGAUGAUGACACUUUUUUUCAUUUUUUAUUAUUUAAAUAUAGAACUAUCAUAUUAUUAUAACAAAGGCAACACAAACCGUCCACUAUGUUUAAUUAUGGGAUAAAUACCAUUUAAAUCCCUCAAACCAUGGUUUCAUAGCUAUUUGACUUAAGUAAACUAAUAAUGAUUAAGUUUUAUGAAUUUUAAAAUUUAAUCCCUUUUAUUUAAUUAACUAUCCAAAUGUUAAAAUUUAUGGACCAAAUUUCAAUACACCUAUAUAAUCACUCCGUAAAUAUUUAUCUCAGUUUAUAGAAAUGAGGUCCCGAUACUUGGUUUUCUAAAACCACUUGACUUUAGGGACAAACCACUUGAACUUAACUGUUCAUUCAAAUAUAUAAAAUUAUCAAAUCAAAUAUUAAUAUAAUAUUAUAUUUGACUUGUAAAUAUUAAAUAAUAAUAUUUAUGGACUCAUUCGUUGGAUUUUUGGCCCUGAAACCACUAUUUCUGACACCACUAAAAAAUGAGUUAUUACAACUCUCCCUUAUUAGGAAAUUUCGUCCUCAAAAUUUCUUACAUGGAAUAAGUUUGGUUACUGUAAACUCAUAGAAUCUUCAGUCUUCCAUGUCAAAUAUGUCCCAUCUAGAUUGUUCUUGCUCAAUUCUGACUAGUGUGAUAGGAUUUUACUUUUCCGUCCUUAAAAGCUUCAGACAGUACCAUUUUAAUACUAGACUAUUAUCUGUUAUUCUAAGCAAAGUCAUUCAACAGUAAAUACUUGUCCAAAUUACCCUUGAUCUAGAUGACAUAACACUGUCAUAUGUCUUCUAGAGCCUAAAUUGCCCGUUUUGACUGGGACCAAAAUGUUGUACUGAAGUUAAGUUUAAUACUCAAAGCCUCGUAAAGUUUACUCCAAAAUCUAGAGGUGAUCUCGGAUGUCGAUCAUAAAUGAUAUACAAUAGCACUCUGUGCAAUUUAUUAUUCUUUGAUACAUACAACUCAACCAACUUUUUGAAUGAGUAAUCUGUUCUGAUCGGAAUAAAGUGAGUCAAUUUCAUUAGUCUGAUAAUAACAAUUUAGAUCAAGUCCUUAUUUCAAGACGUCAAAGGUAGUCUAGAUACGAAAUCUAUCAUGACUCGCUCUUAUUCCCAUUCAGAAAUCAUAAUAGGCCGUAACAAUUUAGAUAUAAUUUGAUAUUUAGCUUUGAACUAUUGACAUACUAGACAUCUCAGUAGAAAACUAUGAAAUUUUACGUUUUAUUCUCAUCAAUCAGUAACUCUGUCUCAGGUCAUUAUGCAUUUUUUUCGCUACCUGAUUGAAUCAAAUAGACACUGCUAUAAGCCUAUUAUAAUAUAUCUAGUAAAAUCUCUAAGCUGUUCAACACACAUACUCGAUUUAGGAAAUAUAUACUAUUACCACAAUCUAUAUUGAAAUUAGUAAUCUGAUCAUUCUAAAUCUCUUCCCAUUUAGCUAACAAAUUCGAAUAUUUUAUUUGCAUCUCACAAAUAUUUUGACGAAAUAACAAUUUAACUCUUAGUUUGUAAUAAUCGAACUAUCAUAAUUUAAGAUCAUCUGAGUAAAACAUAAUAGUAAACAAUGAAUUCUUUCCUUGAAUUAUGUUGAAUCUGUAUCGAAACUUCUGCCAAUAAUGUUUUCAACUGGUCAUAAUUCUGUUGGUACUUAACCUACCAAACAAAUUUUGUAUUUUCCUGUAAUAGAUUCGUCAUAGGAAAUACCAUUAUCGAGGAAUUAUUAAUAAAUCAUCUAUAAUACACAUUUUUAAAUACUAGGCAUACUCUGAAUCAAUUCUAUAAAAUAUGAAUAUAUCAUCAAUAAAAAAGACAUGAACAAACCUGUCAAAAUGUGGCUAUAAAAUCUAAUUCAUUAGAUCCAUAAAUGUUGCGGGAGCAUUAGUCAGUCCGAGAGGUACAACUAGAAACUCUAAAUGUUCAUAACGGGUUCUAAAUACUGUUUCCAACAUAUCAACAUCUUUAACUCGCAACUGAUAGUAACCAAAUAUGAUAUCAAUCUUCAAAAACACUAUGCCACCUUUUAGUUGGUCGAAUAAAUCUUCAAUAUGAGACAACAAAUAUUUAUUAUUUGUCGUGAGUUAUUCAACUAUCAAUAAUCUAUACACAAUCUCAUCGACCCACAUUUAUUUUUCACAACAUAAAAGGUGUGCCCCAAGGCGAUACACUCAUUUGAAUAAAAUCUUUGUCGAUUAAUUCUUGCAAUUGAGCUUUUAAUUCUUUUAAUUCGAUUAAAGUCUAUCUAUACAGAGCAAUCAAAAUCAAAGCAGUCCCUAACACUAAUUCUAUAACAAACUCGACUUCUUACUCUAACAAUAAACCUGAUAAUUCCUUUGAAAAAACAUCUAUAAACUCGCAAACUAUCGUUACCUGAUUAACUUUCAUUUCUGAUACUUUGGAAUCCAGGAUAUAAGCUAAAACACAUUACAAUCCUUUUUGAAUCAAUUUCUGUGUGUAUAUUGCUGAAAUCAUAUUUGAAACACAAUCAUACUUAACAAAUUCAACAAAAUUUACUUCACCAUUCUGGCCAUCUAAAACCAAUUCAUUUAUGUUUGCAAUUCACUAUAGUGUUGUAUACAUUCAACCAAUCCGUCCCCAGAAUAACAUCAAAUUUAUGAAAAGACCGUAGCAUCAAAAUAAUAAGAGAGUCAUAACACUAAAUCUUUAGUGAACACUGUUAGCAAAUCAGGUCAAUUAUUAGUUUACUUAACCGGAAAAAUCUAUUUUGUUACUAACAUAGUAUAUCGACCUGGGGUAAAUUAAUGCAUACUCAGUAAUCUGAAAGAUAGAAAAGGUACCAAAAACAUCAUCAGGAGCUGAGGUUCCUCACAUUCACGGAGCGCAUAAAAUCUGGUUAGAGCUCAAGCUUUAGAUCAAAUCAUUUUGUCUUUUAUUUUGCUUCUAUUGACUCUAGUUGUGCCUCAAAUUCCUGGCUGUCUAUUUCUUGUAGAAGUAACAACAGGUCUUACAUUCUGAUUUCUGUUCAAAUUAGUUCAGUUCAGUUAGUUUUUCUUAUAAUUAUUUAAAGAUCCACAAAUGAAAUAUGAAUCGUCUUUCAGUCUACAAAUCCCAAGAUGAUUCCAUCCACAAUAGCUACAAUCAAGUCUAUUUACAUUUAUGACACUGCCCGCACUCACUACUAAAGUUAUCAGUGUCUCACCUUACUCUGCUUCAUUCUAUCUCUGCCAGAAAAUCUUGAGAGCACUGAAAAUGGCUACUCGGUUCUUUCAUUUUUCUUUGGUGAGGAAGUAGAAAACAUUUUAAAUAAUUUCAUUUAUUGAAGCUUUGAACUCUUUUCUCGCUCUAUUUCUUAUGAUAACAAAUUUCUUCCAUUUUCUAAGUCCGAGAAAAUAAAAUUACGAACUCAUGAAAUUUCAUUACACUCACAAGCAUUUUAAUCUCAUUAUUCAAUCCAUUUUUAAAACAAAUACACAAUUCCUUUCCUAUCGACACCAUCAUAUUAUGUAAUUGAUCUAUUAUGUAAUUGAGCAAACUCUCGCUCGUAUUAUGUAAUUGAUCUAUUUCUUAGCUUCAACUCAAGAAAUUCCUUUUUCUUCUUGUCUAAAAAUCGUUUGCUGACAUUUUUUUCCAGAAUUCAAUUCAGAAGAAAUCCCAAUUAACUCAUUCUUUUGAUACCAUAGUAGUUAAAUUUGACUACCAGUGAGAAGCCUCCUCACGUCAUACCUCAGAUAAUAUUUGGAAGAACACAACAUUUCAUCUAAAACCCUUUAUGUGUUUUCUAACCAGUAUUUGGCUCUGGCUGAAUCAUCACCCACUUUACCGCCAAACUCUUUGACUCUGCAUAAUCGGACUUUAUCAAUAGAAAACUUGUGAAUAUUUUAUCGUAUAGGGCUUUGAGGAUAAGGGGGUGGAGGUCGUUUAGCCACGAAAUUGACUCCCAUAUAUGCGUUAAACAUAUCACUUAUCAUAUUAAGAAAGGUAUUGUGAGCCUCUUCUCUAGGCUCUUGAAACUUGGGCACAUUAUGAAUAGCCCCUUGAUUAGUGGCUGGAACAUAACUCUGUAUUCUAUUAGAAUAUGCUUGAAUGUAUUCAGUUGACAUCUUUGAUCUAUAAGAAAAUAAGUCAAACUAAUUGGGAAUCAUUACAAUAUCAUAGGUUAUAAAGUGACUUAAUACAUGCUACGUUCAGUCUUAAAAUUGACUAAACUGUAGCUUUGAUACCACUAAAUGUAACACCCCAAUAUUUUACCCUUUAUACAAUUUAUUCUCUAAACCCGAAACUUUCAAAUUAACUACAUUUAAUCCCAAUUCAUUCUAUUCGAAUUUCCUAUAAUCCUGUCCAACCAAUAUUUAUCACCUUUUCACAAAAAUUUCAUGCAACUUUACUAGUUUAACAAAUUAGUCCUUCAACUUUAAAAAAGCCAAUUUAAAAAUAGUUCUAUUUAACUAUCAAGCUUAUGAAUAUACCAUCAAACCUCAAAAAUAUCAUAAAUUCACCAAUUUUAUAAAUCAAAAUAUUUAACAAUUUUACAAAUUAGUCCCUAGAUUAGCUAGAUUAAAUUGCAACUAUCUCAAAAACGUAAAAAUUACUAAAGAUAGACCUUGGGAGCAUACACAUGCAAGGGACGAAAGCUUCCAUAAAAAAAUGGCUUCUCUUCUUGAAUGAUGCUUUCGUUAAGAGAAAAAUAAAAUGGGAAAAGAUGAUGACACUUUUUUCAUUUUUUUGUUUUAUUAUUUACAUAUAAAAUUACCAUAUUAUUAUAAUAAAGACAAAAAAAAAUAUCCAUUAGUUUAAUUAUGGGCUAAAUACCAUUUAAACCCCUCAAACCAUGGUUUCAUAGCUAUUUGACUCAAGUAACUAAUAGCGAUUAAGUUUUAUGACUUUUACAAUUUAGCCAUUUUUCUUUAAUAAACUAUCGAAAUGUUAAAAUUUAUGAAAAAAGUUUCAAUACUCCUAUAUAAUCACUCCGUAAAUAUCUUAAUCAAAUAUUUAUUGGCUCAAUUUAUAGGAAAAAGGUCCCUAUACCUCGUUUUUAUAAACCACUUGACUUUAAGGACAAACCAUUUAAACUUAACUAUUCAUUCAAAUAUAUAAAAUUAUCAAAUAAAAAUUUAAUUAAUACUAUUUUGACUCGUAAAUAUUAAAUAAUAAUAUUUACAAACUCACUCGUUAGAUUUGUGGCCUCGAAACCAUUAUUUUUGAUACCACUAAAAAACAGACUAUUACAGUGUCAGGUACUAGAACGAUACCUACAAGGUUCUGUAAUUGAUCUGCAAACAGAGCUUGCGUAUUACCGCGAUUGCUUGGUUCAUGGGAAAAGAGUUUUCCAUAUUUUUUGGACUUUCAAGCAAUGCAUAACAAAAUUCCGGUACUAUAAGCCAUUGGUACAAAUUGACGACAUAUUCAUGUAUGGGAGGUACCAGCAUCGGUUGUUGUUGGCUGUUGCAUUAGAUGGUAAUCGAAAAAUCCUACCAAUAGCUUUUGCAGUAAUGCUCGAACAAUCCAGAGAUGAUUAAGAUAUCUCUUUAACUAAUUUGUGAAGGCAUGUUGUGCCGUAACCCAAUAUAUGCAUCAUUUUCGACAUGGGAAUCGGAACACAGGCUGCAAUUAAUCAGCGUGAAAGCCUCUGGGACCGUGCACACCAUAGCUAUUGUAUAAGGAAAAUAUGGUUUAAAUACAUGGGCCGAUACCAUAAGUAUGCAGAGUGGCGACAUAUCAUAAACACGGGUAAAUUGUACAUAGUAUUGUCUAUAUCAUUCUUUAACAUAUAAAUUGUUUGCAUUCAUGGAUAUAAUAUUUAUUGUCAUCGACAAGGUAUGAGAUCAUCCAAAAUCGAUUCCAGGAAAUGUUAGAGAUAUUGUGGGUAUAAACUGACUCGGUGUGAAGUACCUUGAUGGGAUACCGAAGGAGCAGUGGACGAAAUCGUAUGAUAGAGUACUACGAUAUGAGCACAUGAAAACGAACCUAGCGGAAUGCAUUAAUUUUAUAUUGAAGGGUACGUGUUAUUUACUGGUAACGUCGACGGUCAAAGAAACGUAUUUUUCUUAGUAGCCUUAUUUCCAAAGUGGGCUGAGAAAUACGAGGGACAUAUAUAGGGCAGUCACAUUGGUGCGAGACGGUGCUGAAAGAUAUUUGAGAAAAUGCAAAAAAAGCGAACGUUAUAUCUUUAGUGUGUCACUCGCAUCCAAAUCAAAUGUUUAUGGUUACGAAGUUUCAUAGACCUAAAAAAGGUGUUAUCGGGGGACCGUAUCGUGUAGACUUGAGACAAAGGACCUGCGACUGUGAGAGAUCUCAAACACUUCGUUGUCCAUGCGCACAUGCAAUUGUGGCACGUAUCUUGGCACGUGUAGAUUGCAUGAGCUACUUUGAUGAAGUUUACAAAUUACUCUGGACAUAUAAUGGUUGGAAAUAUGAAUUCCCACCUAUCCCAAAAGAAAGGAUUUGGCCAUCUACGUAGCAUGGUCCUUUCAAGUUGGUACUGAAUAUUACCUUGUGACGCAAGCCAAAAUGUCGGUUGAACUCAACUCAGAUACGAGACAAUAUGGAUAUUUGGGACCAUGAUUAUGCAGUUACUGUAGGAACCCAAGGCAUACUAAGCCAACAUGUCCACACUUGGAAGGAACAUUGAGUAGAGCACUUAAAUAAAAUACUACCUCAAUCCCAUUUAUAAACAUAGAAAAAAAAACAUACAAACAAACAAACCAUUUGUUCAUUUAUUUUUUGAGAAAUUGUAAGUUAAUAUUAAUUAUUGAAGUAAGAUAUAUUACAAUACGAAAUAAUUUUUUAAAAUUUUUUCUUGUACCUUGUGAAUAAAUCAUUGCUUUUUUAAAAGAUUGUAAUAAAUGGAAAGAGAAAAACUUAAAUGAAAAAAUAACACAAAUGAAAAAAUAAUUAAAACAAAUCAUACGAUAUGGUACAAUACAAACCAAUUUAAUAAAUUUGUUGCAUAGAUUGUAAAUAAGUGUACAGUUAAGAUGUAAAAUAAAGAAUACAAUUUGGUGUCAAUGAAAGUGGAACAAGUACAUUAUGGAUGGAAACAUUUAUUACUACAUAAAUUAAAAUUUAAUAAAAUAAAAAAAUGAAGUAUUUGAGGAAAAUUACAAAUAACAAAUUCAUCGACGUUUAGAAUGUGUGCCAUAACUAGGUGGGCCUUGAGUAUUGUACAAGCUCGUUUUUCAGUGGUGUCAAAAAUAAUGGUUUCAGGGCCACCAAAUCUGGCGAGUAAGUUCAUAAAUAUUAUUAUUUAAUAUUUACGAGUCAAAUAUGGUUUUGAAAAGAUUUUUGAUUGAUAAUUUAUGUUUUAUAAACGAUUUAUGUAGUUUAAGUGGUAAUACCCUAUGGUCAAGUGGUUUUAGAAAAUGAGGUAUUGGGACCUCGUUUCUAUAAAUCGAGUCGUAAAUAAUUUUAUAAAUAUUUACAGAGUAUCAUUAAGGUAGUAUUAAAUUUUCGUUGAAAAUUUUUAACGUUUCAAUAGAUAAUUAAUUAAACGAACUAAAUCGUAAAAGAUGUAAAAGUUGAUCAUCAUUUGAUUUGAGUGAUUACAUCGCUUAUUGAAUCAAGGAAAAUGGACUUAAAAAUUAAACCAUGGUCAAGCGGUGGUUUCAUGAUUGAAUCCGCUAGCUUUUGGAUUAUUUGUUCUUUUAGUCCUAAUUAGUUUAGGAUUGAAUUGUAAAUAAGUUUAUUUUUGUAUAAAAAAUCUAGUGGUUGUUUUGGUAUGUAUAAGUAUCAUUAUGGUUAAUGUACUUAUAGUAUCUUGGUGGUUGAUGUUAAUAUGGUUAAGUUGAUGCAUGAUUUUAUGACCAAAGAGGUAAGUUUGGCAUGUUUGCAAUAUGGUUAAUUAAGGUAUGCUUGAAUAUGAAAUUUAGUUAAUUGUGUGUAACACCCCAAACCCAGCCUAGACGUUAUGGUCGUAUCUUGCAAUGUCACACGAUAGUGUUUUUGAAACCUCAUUGUUACGUUGAAAACAUUCCAUGUUAUUAUCUUUAGUAAACCUUUGAUAGAACUUAGGAAGUCAUCUUUAUUCAUUUAAAACAUUUGUUUCGAAACAUCCUUCGUUGCAGAAGCUUUAAUAAAAUAGUCUAAGUGAUCAUGCGUUUAGAAACUAUUUUAACUUUUUAAAAACUGAAUUUCCUACGACCAGCAGACAUAAAUCCAUAGAGUAAAAUAAAUAAAUAAAAACCCAAAAUUUAAAACCAAAGUCCCAGAGGGUCAUUAAAUUACAACCCAAAUAAUCAAUAAUAAUUUAAUCAUAAAACGUAAAUUGAAAACCAUGAAGUCCAAAAAUUUCUGUGGUCACCGCUGAGUCCUCCGUCGCACCAAUCUGUCUAAGUCUGGGGAUUACCUGUGCACAUUAAACAAAAAUGGUGAAUUUACGUAAACUCAGUGUGUAAUCCCGCAGAAACAAACAAACAAUCAGUAUUCACAAUGCACAGUUGAACAGUUUGGGCCUAAGCCCUUUUUGGUAUCAGUGACAGUUUGGGCGUUAGCCCAUCUCCGUACAGUGUCAAAAAUGCUGUAGGGCCUUGGCCCAUCACAGUAUCAGUAGCAGUAUUAGUUAUGCAGUAGCAAAAUCCUAUCCAUCCAGCCUUUACACACCAUCUCUGUCCAACCCUACACUCCAUGUGGGGAUAUAAUCAACCCACCCAUCCCGACACUCCAACUAGUACUGAAUGCGGCACAAAAUAGUAGUUUGCAGUUGAGCUGCCAGUAAAUUAGGCUUAAAGCCUUUCAGUACACUUCCUCCGAAUAACAAACCCCAACCCAAUGCAAUGCAGCAUACAAUAGAUGAUAUGCUAUCAGGCAAUUUCAGUACAUAUAUUCAGUUUAGAUAUUAACAUACUCAGUACAGAUAUCAUUCAGUCAAUUUCACACAUUUAAAGGUCUAAGUAGCGCUUACCGACCUUACAGUAGGUUCACAGUCAACUUGGGCGACCCGUGCAACCUUAGAAACAUUCUGGUAAAAAUGGGCCCACAUGCUCGUGUGUGCCCUUGUGGCCCACUCGGCCCAAAUUGGCCUUGUCCGUGUGAUCGAUUUUUAAUGUAAUCCAUACUAGUUAAAUAUUCAUAUAUGUUUUCACUAUUUACUUAUAUGUUCAUUCAAAGUUUUCUACUUGAGUCAUUGUCACUAAAUUAUUUAUAUCUUGAGUUACAGAAGUCCAAAUUAAGAUCUACUUGCUGUUCUCGAAACUAGACUCAAAUGCUUUUCUACCAUAAAAUUUUCCAAAUUUAUAGUUUAUCAAAUAAGUAAGUACAAUCUUCAAAUCUAUCCCAAUUCUGCUGUUUGACUACUUCAACGUUUCCUUACUAAAAAUUUUUUAUCUCUUAGUAUGGAAUUCAGAUGAUGUUUUCGUUUGUUUCUCUUGAAAAUAGACUUAUUAAGGAUUUAAACAUAUAAAUUUAAGCCCCUAAUUAUUUUUUUACAAUUUUUGGUGAUUUUUCCAAAGUCAAAACAAGGGAACCCAAACCCAUUCUAACAUUGUCUCACAAAAUUCAUUAUAUGUCAUAACUUACAAUUUCAUUGCUUACACUGUUUCUUCCAUGAAAAACUAGACUCAAUAAAAUUUAAUUUCGUAUUUUAUUCAACCUCUAACUCAAUUUCCACUAUUUUUGAUGAUUUUUCAAAGUUAGACUACUGCUACUGUCCAAAACUAUUGUAGUGCAGAAUGUUGAUUUCCAAGUUUAUAACACCCUUAUUUCCUUUCUCUACAAUUUUUCGCAUCAUUUUCUCUUAUUUCUCAUAUUUCUCGACAGCAAUCAAUUUCGGCUUUUCACCAAAUCCCAUUUUCUACAUUUCGGGUACACACCUGGUAUUUUGGAAGCACUUCUAAGCCUCCAGAACUUAAAAAUCGACCAACAAAUCUCCAGAUUAAUCACUUAAUUCGUUUUUAAUCAACCAGUUUUGGAAGGAACUCGAGUAAAAACCUAACAAAACCCUUACCUCGCUUGAGUAACCAUGACUUCGCACAAUCACAGCGUUGAUUCAAAACCACCAGCCCCUUGAUUAACUCCUAAACACCAAAAAGGAAUCCCCCUUUUAGAGAUUAACCAAGAACGAUUAACAAUAGACAAAACCGUUACGUACCGAACACACGCGACCAACGAUGAACAACCAAAUCAAUUGGAAAAUAAAGAAAGACACGGAAGGGGAAAAAUAAUGAAAAUUUCGGCAGCAACUAGGGGAAAGAAUCGGCAGUGGAGGGAAAGGAGAAGAAGAAAACGUCAGAAAAAAGUUUGGGUAAUUGGCGAGAAAACUGAAACUCUACUUUUUUUCUGCAACAAAAAGAUAAUUAGAUUAUUUUCUGAUAACCUCUCCCCCAUUAUCUCCUAAAAUCACUCCUUAUUAACCCACUAAAACACAACUACUCAGAAUUUUCCCCCAACACAAUUCUUAGCCGAAAUUGGAGCAAAAAUAGUGUCUCCACGUUAUCACAGAGAAUUGAAAACAGAACCUCCUUCACACCAACAUUCCACUUAUCCACAAGACUAGCAGGCCCAUUCUGUUAAUUAUUUGUCAACUUUUACUUAAAAGCCUACUGACAAAAGAUAGGGCUUAUUCAUAAAAAUACCAAAAUUUGCCCAAGUCUUGGCUUUAACUUGGGACCUCUCACACACCCAGAAUACUUAACCACUGAAGCAGAUACACAAUUGUUUCACACCUUCGUAAGAACAAAAAUAAAAAUUCUAGGGCGUUACAACUCUACCCCCUAAAAGAAAAUUUUGGCCUCGAAAUUUACCUCAUCAGAACAAAUAAGGAUACUGCUAACACAUCGCAUCCUUAGGGUCCUACGUGGCCUCCUCAGUGCUAUGAUUACAUCAUAGAACCUUCACCAAAGGAAUGGACUUCCUCCUCAAAACUUUUAUGUCAUGAUCCAGGAUCUGGACAGGCUCCUCCUCAAAGGUCAAGUCUGACUUAACCUCAAUCUCCUCAACAAGGACAAUAUGAGUAGGAUCAGAGCGGUAACGCCUUAACAUCGAGAUAUGAAACAUAUCAUGGAUAUGAUCCAACACCGGAGGUAGCUCCAACUAAUAAGCAACUAAUCCCACUCGCUUCAGAAUACGGUAAGGUCUAAUAAACCUAGGGCUCAACUUUCUCUUACGACCAAACCUUAAUACCUUCUUCUAUGGUGAGACCUUGAGAAAAAUGAAGUCCUCUCACAGAAUACUCAAUCUCACGCCUCUUCAAAUUCGCAUAAGAUUUUUGCCUGUCAGAAGCUGCUUUCAAACGAUCCCGAAUCAAUCUAACGUUAUCCUUUGUCUCAGAGACCAACUAAGGAUCUAGAACACGUCACUCACCCAACUCAGUCCAACAUAAAGGAGUGCAAAACUUACGACCGUACAGUGCCUCGUAAGGUGCCAUCUGGAUGCUAGACUAGAAGCUAUUAUUAUAGGCAAACUCUGCUAACGACAGAUAAUCCUCCCAACUACCUCGGAAAUCAAUAGCACAACUCCUUAACAUAUCCUUCAGUACCUAAAUCACCCUCUCUGACUGACCAUCGGUCUGAGGAUGGAACGCAGUAUUGAAGUCCAACCUUAAACCCAGAGUCUCAUGUACCUUUUUCCAAAACUGAGAUGUGAAACGAGGAUCCCUAUUAGAGAUGAUCGAAACCAGUACCCAUGUAGUCUCACUAUCUCAGAAAUAUAGAGCUUUGCAAGCUUUUGCAAAGAAUAAUUUGUCCUAACUGAGAUGAAGUGUGCAGACUUAGCCAAUCGAUCCACGACGACCCAAAAUGAAUCUUUCGUAGUGGGUGUUAAAGGUAACCCACUAAGAAAAUCCAUCGUUGCUCACUCCCACUUCCAUAGCGAAAUCUUAAUCGGUUGCAGCAAUCCCGAAGGCAACUGAUGCUCAGCCUUAACCUGUUGGCAAGUUAGGCAUCUAGCCACAAAAUCUGUAACCUCUCGCUUCAACCCUGUCCACCAAUACAACUCUCGAAGAUCUCAAUACAUCUUAUUUUCGCCAGGGUGCAUAGCAAGUGAAGUAGUUACAUGGCCUGAGAAGGGUGUGUGUCUCAGCCGUGUGAGUCAGAGCCUGGCCACACGGCCGUGUGAUCCUUGUAGUUUAAUUUUUUUUAAGUUUUUCCUUAAAGUUUCAUAUGUUUUUGAUUUAGUCUCAAAUAAUUUUUUAAAGUGUUUCUAAAGCCUCAAGGGCACGGAUAAGGGACAUUAUGAAUGUUCUUGAAUGAAAUUAGAAUAUGUAUUGCAUUGAUGUAUAAAUUGAAUGGUUUACUGUUUUGUUUGUUCGGUAAUACUCCGUAACCUUGUUUCAGUAAUGGAUACGGGUUAGGGGUGUUACAGUGGUGUUAGAGCUACGAUUUAGUCAGUUCUCAGACUGAACGUAGCAUGUAUGGAGUUUAGAAAUACAUGCCAUUAUAUAACCUAUGAUAGUGUGAUGUCUAUUGACUCUGAUGAGAUUUGUUUCAUUUUUUGACAGAGAUGUUUUCCAACUGAGUUAAUUCCGAUAAUGCUGAAAGCGAUAUUCAAGUGUCUGAUUAAAGGUUGCUAAGGAUGAGUAGAGGCUCAUAUAGGUAAGAGAAAAAUUUUAUAAUGUUAUGUUGAUAAUGAAUGUUAUGUUUUGUGUAUUCUUGAGAGUCAAAUUUAGAGGCUUUACGAUUUUCACCCCCUCACCCUCAAAAUCUUAUACAACGGAUAGGAGAUAUUAGAUUUUUUCUAAGGAUCAUUCGAGAUACGCAACAUCACUAUUAUCGAAGAGGUUAUUCACGAGUAAUCAAUUUAUUCAGGUAUGAUAUCUAAAGAACGGAUGAACCAAAAUUUCUUCUAAAUUGAGUUCUUUAGUAAAUGAGAUAAUAUGAGAUUAUUGUUGAUUAUAGUAGUUAGUGGAAUAAUGUUUGAAUUGCAAAGAUAUCUGAAUGCAACUGUUAUGGCCGAGUAUAUUACAAUGAUCUCUUUAUCAUUCAAUAUGGUUAUAUAUUUUAGAAAUUCAGAAUAGCUUUAUAUCUUGGAGUUCUUUAUCUCGGCUAUCUUAUUAUUCUUAUUGUUUAAUCUAUCAAACAUGGUUCAUCUGUAAAAAAAUAUUCACUGGCCGAAAGUAAUUACAUCUAUUACGGUUAUAAUUCCUAGUGGGAUCAUGAGAGCACGGUGAUAUAGAUCUCAUAUUUAUAAAGGCUAUGUACUGCAUUGGUUGUUACUGGAACUAUAUUCAGUUUUCCUAUUUUGUUUCGGAGUGCAUUAUUGAUGGUUGAGAUAUUGUUUUAUCUACACGGUUAUAACGUCUGUCUUAUUAAAACACUAUGGUUUUAAUUCAUCCGAUGGUUGUGGCUUUGGUAUGAUUCAAAGCUUCGAUGUUAAUCAUUAAAAUGGUUUUAUUAUAUAUUUCCUUUCUAAUUUUCGUGAAAGGGGUAGGCAACAACAAAAGUAUAGAUGUGGACGAUUGAGCUUAACCUUGCAUAUUGGUUCUCAUUCCUCGGGUAAUCUUAAUUUAUGUCAAUGAGUCAAAGUAAAAUGCCAUAUUUUGAGUUAGUUAAUGUAGUUUGUGAUGAUCUUUGGUUGGUAUUCUGAGGAACGUACGAUAGACAGUAUAUCUAGAUUAUCUUGAUAACAAGAAGAACGAAUUAUUCUGAAAUGUUAUUAUUCGAGUGAUAGAUCAACUCAAUUGUGUUAUUUAGAACAGGUUAUUCAUUUGAAAAGUUAGGUAAGUUGUUUAUAUUCGAGCUUUUUUCUUAAUUCGAGAAUAAAUUUUACAGAUUCACGGGUAAAUUGAUGGACGGUCAAAAUGAGGGAUUCAUAUUCUAGAAGAUAUGAUACAGAAAUAUAUCUAUUAGAUCAACUAUAAUCGGGAAAUGUUAUUAUGGGUUAAAUUCGCCUCGAUAGUUGAAGUUAUCGCGCUUGGGUUAAAUGAUGUUGGCUGAAGCUUUCCAUGAAAUGGAACGUUUAUCAAUUAAAAGUUACUGAUGCAGAUGUGUCGGAAGCAUCAGCUAGAGUCUGUUAUGAAAACUAUGAUCAUUGGUUAAACGUUAUGAAAAUUUAAUGUAUCUAGAAUCUUAUGAUUUGGAUUUUUGGGUAUGUUUCAACUGAAAAUUAUUGGGAUUUUCUCGAUAUUUGUGGUAAUGAUGAUAAAGUUAAGAUAGGAGAGCAUCAAAUCUAUUCAAUUAAGUCCAAGUAUAGUAUCAAGUUCUACUAUGAGUUCUGAUUCGAGAUGAGUUAUGAUUAAUUUUUUUGUGGACUACCAUUAAGAAUAGGAAAGAAAGAUUCGAUGUGAUGACUAUUAUCAGGUGAGAAAAUUUGAGGACGAAAUUUUCGUUAGGGGAGAGUUGUAACAACUAUUUUUUAGUGGUGUCAGAAACAGUGGUUUCGGGGCCACCAAAUUCGAUGAGUAAGUUCGUAAAUAUUAUUAUUUAAUAUUUAGGAGUCAAAUAUGGUUUUUAAAAGAUUUUUGAUUGAUAAUUUAUGUUUUAUAAACAAUUUAUUUAGUUCAAGUGGUAAGACCCUAUGGUAAAGUGGUUUUAGAAAAUGAGGUAUCGGGACCUCAUUUCUAUAAAGCAAGUCCUAAAUAUUUUUAUAAAUAUUUAAGAAGUGUCAUUAAGGUAGUAUUAAAUUUUCGUUGAAAAAUUUUAACGUUUUGAUAGAGAAUUAAUUAAAAAGGACUAAAUCGUAAAAGAUGUAAAAUUUGAUCACCAUUUGAUUUGAGUGAUUAAAUGGCUAAUUGAAUCAAGGAAAAGGGACUUAAAUGGUAAUUAAACCAUGGUAAAAUUUUCCAAGCGAUGGUUUCAUGAUUAAAUCCACUAGCUUUUGGAUUAUUUGUUCUUUUAGUCCUAAUUAGUUUAGGAUUAAAUUGUAAAUAAGUUUAUUUAGUUAGAAUUUAAUUUAAUUGAAGGACCAAUUGUGAAAUUAAAUCUUCCUUAGAUGGUAAUUAUGCUAUAUAUUUAUGUGAUGGACAAAUAUGGACAUGAAAUUGGUGUUUUAUUUAAUUAUUACCAAGGUUAAAAUGAUAAUUUGAUAAAUUAAUUAAAUUAAACAAAACAUAAGUAAAAUAAUGAUUGUCAUCUUCCUUUUUCUUUUGUUUUUCAACCGAAUGAAGCCAUGGAUAUACAUGCAUACAUGGUAUCUAGUGGUUGUUUUGGUAUGUAUAAAUAUCAUUAUGGUUAAUGUACUUAUAGUAUCUUGGUGGUUGAUGUUAAUAUGGUUAAGUUGAUGCAUGAUUUUAUGACCAAAGAGGUAAGUUUGGCAUGUUUGCAAUGUGGUUAAUUAAGGUAUGCCUGAAUAUGAAAUUUAGUUAAUUGUGUUUGUAUGAAAAAUGACCAAUUGGGUAUAUGUUGGUAUAGUUCAAUGUGGUCGAUUAUGGUAUAACUUGGUAUGGAAUGAAGCUAAAUAUAUGUGGAAGAGUUAUGAUCAAAUAUGUAUAAGUUUAGGUAUAUGUGUGUUCGAGAUGCAUGAGAAUAAAUGUUUAAAUGGUAAGUUAUAUUGGCAUGGUAUAAGUCAAUUAUGGUAUGUUUUAAAAUGGUAGCAAGGUGACCAAUUAUGCAUAUGUUUGGUUAAAUUGAAUGCUUGCUUUUGAGGUGCCUUAUAUGGCAUAUUGGUUGAAUGAAAUUUGGUCAUUUGAAUUGGUCUUAUUAUGCAUUUUGUAGGUAUGUUUUAAUGCUUGAUUGUGUGUGCAAAUGACUUGUAUGUGUGUACUUGAAUUGGGUGAAAGAAAUAACUUGAAUUUGGCCUAUUUCUUGUUCACACGGCCUAAAACACGGGCGUGUUUGUCAGUCGUGUGUGACAUACGGCCAUGCAACACAUUCGUGUGUCCCUUGUAAGUUUCAAAGGGUAGAAAGUCAGGUUGUUACACGGCCUGAGGCACGAGCGUAUGUCUCAGCCGUAUAAGUCAUACGGCUUGGCCACAUAGCUGUGUAACCCCUGCAAUUAAAAUUUUUCUAAGUUUUUCCUUAAAGUUUCAUAUGUUUUUGAUUUAGUCUCAAAUUAUUUUUUAAAGUGUUUCUUAAGCCCCGAGGGCUCGAAUAAAGGACGUUAUGAAUGUUCUUGAAUGAAAUUAGAAUAUGUAUUGCAUUGAUGUAUGAAUUGAAUGGUUUAUUGUUUUGUUUGUUCGGUAAUGCUCUGUAACCCUAUUUUGGCGACAAAUACAUUUUAGGGGUGUUACAAGUAUGCGAAAGGUUCCAUCAAACAAGUUGGGGUGUCAACUCCUCAUAUUCUUUAUCUUACUACACCUCGACCUCGAUGUUGAUUUCCAUCUUUAUCUCCUUCUUCCGGUUGAGUGUGUUUGGGUUCUAAGAGUCCAUUGUACAUCCCCCAUUGUAUUAAUAGGUUGUUGCUCAGAUGACUCACCUAGGUUGAACGAUGAUGCUAGGGGUGUUUGCAACACUACCAGUGGAUAACUGUAUAAUGUCGCCUAACUUGAUUGCAGAUAAAAGGUGGGAAUUAUGCGCAAUAUUAGAUAUGUCGGUGUUGCUGGCGACAUCGACGUGUAAUAUGGUCUAGUGGAUGGAGGUGGUGUGAAAAAUAGACUUGGAGAAUGUGUUGAUGUAGUGAAUAAUGGUGCAUGCUUUGGUGCUUAUGUUAAAAAAAAUGGAUUAGCACGAAAAAAUGAACCAUACUAACAGGGAGGUUACACGCCCAUUGGGUCCUCGUGUGGAGCUAGAGCAGAUGUUGAUCCCCCCAUAAUAUGUUCUCCUGACCUAGGAUUGAUGGGCGCUUGUCUUGACCUUUACGGUGACAUUGCCUACUCUUUUCUGCAUCCGACAGUAGAUAUGACUUGCCGUUAUACCUGAACCCAUCCAUGUAAUCUGGAGAUGUCACCAACUCUGGUGUGAGAAAUGGUUCACAUGUUGGCAAGUAAUCGUACCUAUGCUGCCACAUCUCGAUAUACUUCUUAUGGAAUCUUGAUCAAUCUUCCUCGAGUAUCUUCUGCAAGUCGAUCGUGCAGUUUAUCGAGAUCCUGGGGUAGUAGUGGAACACAUUGUGACGCCCAAACUGUCGCAUCACUCAGUCAAAUUCGUACAUCUCGACUGUUGCAAAAACGAUUAAUGGCACUUUGACGUGCUAGAUAUUACAAUUGGCCAAAAAUUUGGUUGGGAUGCAUUCUUGAAUUCUCAAAUCUGCAUAUGACAUCCAUUCAAACUGCAGAAUGAAUUUAUAAAUUUUAGCAUGUGCCUAAUGUUUAAUUUCAAAUGCUGAAGUAAAUAUUACAUAACUUUAAAUUUCAUAAACUAACCUUCUCUUCCGAUUGUUGAUCUAACGCUAGCCAUAUAUCCUCGAGCUCGAUCAGUAUACCUGUGUGUCUCGCGUGAUUGUUCCACUUAUUCAAUAAUAUGUUAUUUCAAAAUUACGAUAAUGAAAAAAAUAUUAGGAUAAUGAUAUUAUCAAAUGAAUUUUACCAUAUUACGAGUGGGAAUUCAUAAGGGGGUCCACUCAGGGUCGUAAAGAUGGUAGUCGAUACCAUGCCUACGAUUGAAGAAAGAGCAUGCAAUCGAUGAUUUUAACUUUUUUUGGUUUCGUCGCUCGACAUAUCUCUCGGUACAAUAUCACCAAGAUUGCUGAUCCCUAACUGAUUUGUCUCUAUUCUUUCAAGUCGACUACAGUAGCCACCUUAAAUGUACCAGAUUUCGAGAUUUAUCUGGCAUAAGUAGUCCCUCGAUCAACCUCAAGAUACGUGCAUGAAUUGUUCUAAUUCAACGUCACUCACGAAGGUGUUGAUAUGUUUGAACUUCUCCUCCAACCAUUCCAUCUCGAUUCAACUACCCCUAAACUUGUUCAACACCUCCCUUGUAGUUGCUCGCAUGUUGCACUCCAAUCGACACUAACCACUGCCUCUAUAAUGACUUCCUCAUCGAUUGGUAGGCUGAGUUGUAAACCAACAUUGUAACACCUUAUACCCGGUCUAGUCGCCAGGCCCGAGCUACAGGAUGUUACCACAAUAAAUCAAAAUAUUCAUAAGCAAUUUAAUUAAUAUUAUUGGUUCCUCUCUCUGAAAAUUAAGUACAAUCUGUACUUGUUUAUAGUCAAUAACAGUAUCAUAUAAAAUCAAUCAAUAUAUACCGAAUGUCACAUCAAACUCAUUGAAUGUCAACGACAUUAGCUCGACAAGAAUUGUACAAUCACUAAUUCUCAAUGAAAUAUGUUAGUAUCACAAACAUACUGAUCUAAUAGAUUUAUUAUUCUAAUUUCAUAAUUAGUCAACUCUACUGGCAUAAUCUCUUUGGUUAUUAAAACAAUUCAAAAGUAAAAAUGUAUUACUCUAGAAUUAAUCACAAAUUGUAUAAAAAUUGUAGAUAAAGAAAUUGUACCCGUAAUAUCAUCAAGGAAAAUGACCUCUUCUUUGAUUUGAUCAAAAUAAACUCGAGAAGGUGCACAAGUUUCAGAUCUAUCAGAGGCAUCUUUGGUCUUACCUAGACUAGCAAUAACAUUGUCACCAAUUUUCUAAAUUUCUAUUAUGUUAGGGAGUUGUUAUCAAUUUAAUAAUCUGAUCACUGAUAACAUUUAGGGUUCGUUUGUUUGCCAGUAAAAUGUUUUCCAGUAAAUGAUUUCUGGAAAAUGUUUUACUUUUCUGUAAAAUGAUUUAUUGGAAAAUAUUUUCUAGUGUUUGGAUGAAUCUGUGUAAAAUAUUGUCUGCUAUUUGGCAAAUUUCCUGAAAAUAUUUUUCGGAAAAGUUAUUUUUACCUAUAUUAAUAUAUAUUAAUAAAUUUUUAUAUUUGAAAUUUUUUUUACAUAUAUUGCAAUGAUUUAUUUAUAAUAAUACUCAAUUUUCACUAUCCACAUAUAGAAAUCUCUAUGCUUGUAUUGUGGAAACCUUUCAAACCAGUUAACCAGAAAAACAUAUGCAUCUUCAGCUAUAAAUUGAGCAAGGGAACAUAUGAACCAAGUCCCUCAAAAACUUAGGCAAAACUAACUACAUCUAUGUGACUCGGUCUGAAUAUGCAUUAACAAACAGACCAAAGAUCUGAAUCUGCCAAAAUAUCCGAAUUUAGCAAGUCAAAAAAUUGUAAAAAGUAAAGUAGCUAAUCAAUUCGUAUAUCAGAAUUUGUCAUCCCCAAAAACAAAAUGGAUACAAAAAAAGGAUUCAAUAUCCUAUCAACAAAAGUAAAGCGGAUUCAAAUAUUACUCAGAGUCCAAAAUUUAAUACCAACAACUUGAAUAACACAAGCCAUUUUACAACUUCAUUACAACUUCAAAAUUUCGCAGAAAUGUAUAAAUGGCAUGACUGCAUCAAGAAAAUCAAAAUUUAUCACUAAAAAGAAGAGAUGGGGGAAUCUUUGACUCUUGAGACUCCUUGCAAAUUGCUUUCUGCAAAAUAAACACACAUUCCAAAAGGAUUUUUAAAUUAUAGUAAUCAAGAUAAAAAGAUCAUAACAUAAACAUCUAGAAUAUACAAACAGAAGAUUUGAAAGCUAAAAUGUUCAACAUAGAACUAAAAACAAUAAACUAGAGCUAGAUGGUUAGCAUUAAAAGUUCACUAGAGACCAAAAUGAUGAAACAAGUUCCACAAUAUUUGCAGUCUAAAAAAGAAAACUGUUAAGCACCUCAUCGUUAAGCAUCUGGUCAAAAUUAAGUGUAUAAUUAGUCAAUCUGUUGUUCUUCAAGUCAGCAUACCUGCAAUCAGGUUUAAUGAAUAUUAAAAAGAAAACAAAAUAGUACAAGAACUACUGAGAAGAUCAUAGCAAUACUAAUUAGAUUACAUAAAUAACUUGAUAUAAUAAUAAGUAGCUUACUUUACAGCACCAUAACCAACUGCAUCAGCAGUACUCUCAAUCUCCUCCUCGGUCCAUUCUUCACCCUUUCCUGAUUCGCACACAAAGUAACAAUUUCAGAUACAAGAGGUUGAAAAGUUCAAAGGCUACACAAUUUAACAACUGUAAGGACUUGCAGUAACAAACACGUCACUAAUAGACUGACAAACAUAAGGUAGUUGAAAAGAGUUGAAAAACAUUUGUAACAACAGAGAUAAGGUUCAAUAUCAUACCAUGCUCGAUAAGUGCUGCUUUACUUCGGUUCUUAGCUUCAUCAAGUAGAUCAACUAAACGAACUACUUCAGUGUUACAGGUUUGAAAACGCUUGCCAUCUUCUCCAAGAACAAGUCCAAAACCAACAUGGCUAGCUUUGGGAUAAUUAUCACCUUGAGGAAGCCACCCUGCACGUUUGGCAGCCUGAAAAAUAACCAAAAUAGUUUCAGAAUAUACAGCAAAAGACUAGAUGUCAAAAGUCGGAAUAACUCUUUAAUAUAUGUAUGUUUUAAUAUAUGUAAACUGACCAUAACAUCGUUCUACUAAAUAAUUAAUAUAUGGAGCUAGCCUUAUUGAUACUAACCUCUUAGCAAUGAAGCAAAGCAACAUCUUGUAACACGAUUCAAGUAAGCAACAACAAAUUGGGGUUUGAACUAAUCAAAAACAGAACAGCUUUAAAUUAAAGACAACCACAAUAUGGAAAGCAUCAAAAUUUUUAAAGGAGAUGGAAACAAAAAUUGAAGGCACCACAAUGGCUUUCAAGGAGCAUGGCAGCGGCUUAUGGAGACGCUGAAAAACGUCAAUGGGGUAGACAUGCUGAAAAACGUAACAGAACCUGGGCUAAAACUAGUAAUGAGACGUAUCAAAUUCACCAACGAACUAGCAAGAAAAAUGUAAUGCAGAAUGGAGAUUAGUUCAAGACAUUUUAAAGUAAUCGUAAAGAGAACGUUCCCAAUAUAUCAUCAAAUUUGUAUAAUUAAAACUGGAUGAGAUAAAUUAUGGAUCUAAGAAAGAUUGAAGGGCAGAAUUGAUAUUUUAGGGUUUCAGAUUGAGAGAAAAAUGACUUACAAGUUAGGUGCAGAUCGAUAAGAUAAUGAAUCUGUGAAGACGAGAUUGUUCACAAAGAGAACACCAACAACAACACUGCCACGCCAAGAGAAAUCCACCAAAGAAAUUUAGAGAUAGAGCGAGCGAAAGAGAACCCAAGCAAGUCUGUGAAGAAAGUCUGCCCAAGAUAAGCCAAACACCACAGCCAAACUAGCAGAAAAUCCCCAAAUCAAUUUAUAAAAAGAAGAAGAAAUCAAGGGGGGAAAAGGAGCCCGAAAUAAAAUCAAGGGAGAACGAAAGGGAGAACGAAAGGGAGAAGGGAGAACGAACGUGAGAACGAAACCAGAUCGGUGUAGAGAGGAGAAGGGAGAACGCUGGAAAAAUCAGAAAAUGUCUUACUGAUUUCAAAUCGGUAAGACGUUUUACAUAAAUUGGGGCCUUUUUUACCCGUGUUUGUAAAACAUUUUCCCUUAGGAUUUCAUUUUACACCAACCAAACACCGGAAAAGGUGGAAAAUAUUUUCCGAAAAAUAUUUUCCACUAAACAAACGGACCCUUAGCUUCUUUGAACAAUCUUGCACAAAACAUUCAGUGGAUUCACAUCUGAAGAAAGAAAGAACUGAUCUUGGAGGUCUUUAGACUUUUUAGGUGGAAGCAUCCAAGAUAAUCUGGCUGCACUGCAUUUCAGUGAAUUUCUAAUCUUGAACCUGUUUUUCUUUUUCUCAAUACAUUCGCUCUCCUUUUUUCCUUUACAGUCAUCUCUCUCAUG